UAACAUAUCUUCAUUCAAACGAACUCGAUCGCAUGUUUCCUGAAGUUGCAGGGUGCACAGUCCCACCAUUAUAGCCCAUUUAAUGAAAGCGUAUAUGCAUGGUAGCCUGUGAUCUUGAUAGAUGCACUUGAGCUUUCCAUUAGGAAGUCUCAAGUGAGGAUUCGAAAUCACAGAAGAACUAUCCCACUUGUUACAGAUUACAUGAAUGAAUAUAUAUACACAUAUUCUAACUGACAAGAAGGAACUAACUAACAAUAUUUAACUAACUGUAAAAGUCAUGACUAACUAACUAAUAACAUCCAACUGUAUUUGUAACUGUAUUUCCAUAUAUAUGUGAAGAUUGCAGAAUAAGAAUGGAAAAGCUUUAGGCUGCUGUGAUCAUUGCAGCGUCUGCAGGUUGCUGGGAUUCUUCUGGUUCUUUGGUUAUAUAUGUAGAGUGUUGUAGAUUCCAAUACAAGGAGUGAGAAUAAAGGGGCUCUAUCUAUUGAGAAACUUAUUGCAUGCAAGAUUCCGUAACAUAUCCAUAAAUGAACUUGGAUGUUCGAGAUAAUAGAAAUUGAAGUUGCAUUGAUUGAGCUUUUACAGAUCUCCUCAGGUACAUAAGGAGGGAGCUGGAAGCAAAUGCAUGGGAUAAAACAAAUGAAAUGGGGCAUGCAUCUAUAUAUGCGUUGUACCCGUGAUAUCAGUACUCGGUG